UGGGGAAUAUUGCGCAAUGGGGGGAACCCUGACGCAGCCAUGCCGCGUGAAUGAAGAAGGCCUUAGGGUUGUAAAGUUCUUUCGGUAUUGAGGAAGGUUGAUGUGUUAAUAGCACAUCAAAUUGACGUUAAAUACAGAAGAAGCACCGGCUAACUCCGUGCCAGCAGCCGCGGUAAUACGGAGGGUGCGAGCGUUAAUCGGAAUAACUGGGCGUAAAGGGCACGCAGGCGGUUAUUUAAGUGAGGUGUGAAAGCCCCGGGCUUAACCUGGGAAUUGCAUUUCAGACUGGGUAACUAGAGUACUUUAGGGAGGGGUAGAAUUCCACGUGUAGCGGUGAAAUGCGUAGAGAUGUGGAGGAAUACCGAAGGCGAAGGCAGCCCCUUGGGAAUGUACUGACGCUCAUGUGCGAAAGCGUGGGGAGCAAACAGGAUUAGAUACCCUGGUAGUCCACGCUGUAAACGCUGUCGAUUUGGGGGGUUGGGGUUUAACUCUGGCGCCCGUAGCUAACGUGAUAAAUCGACCGCCUGGGGAGUACGGCCGCAAGGUU
rnacentral:rRNA from 1 species